CUGCAUCCAAUUAAGCUAAGUUUCUUUCUUCGUGGGGCCUGGUGUGCAGUGGCUACGAACAGCAUCCUAUUCAGGAGGCUGCUUCUAUGAGUUUUUCUAAACGACCUUAGAAAUAGAA
ensembl:snoRNA SNORA70 Small nucleolar RNA SNORA70